rnacentral:rRNA from 1 species
GAUGAACGCUGGCGGCGUGCUUAACACAUGCAAGUCGAACGUGAUCCCGUAGCAAUAUGGGUGAAAGUGGCGGACGGGUGAGUAACACGUGAGAAUCUACCCUUUAGUGAAGAAUACCCUCGAGAAAUCGAGGCUAAUACUGCAUACGUCCCUUCGGGGAGAAAGAUGGCCUCUUUGCUAUCGCUAAAGGAUGAGCUUGCGUACUAUUAGCUAGUUGGCGGGGUAAAGGCCCACCAAGGCAAUGAUGGUUAACCGGCCUGAGAGGGUGUACGGUCACACUGGAACUUAGACACGGUCCAGACUCCUACGGGAGGCAGCAGUGAGGAAUCUUGCGCAAUGGGCGAAAGCCUGACGCAGCGACGCCGCGUGGAGGAUGACGGUUUUCGGAUUGUAAACUCCUGUUAAGCGGGAAGAAAGCCUUGUUUCUAAUACAAGCAAGGUAUGACGGUACCGCUAGAGAAAGCACCGGCUAACUUCGUGCCAGCAGCCGCGGUAAGGCACGA